GAUGAACGCUGGCGGCGUGCCUAAUACAUGCAAGUCGAGCGAACGGACGAGAAGCUUGCUUCUCUGAUGUUAGCGGCGGACGGGUGAGUAACACGUGGAUAACCUACCUAUAAGACUGGGAUAACUUCGGGAAACCGGAGCUAAUACCGGAUAAUAUUUUGAACCGCAUGGUUCAAAAGUGAAAGACGGUCUUGCUGUCACUUAUAGAUGGAUCCGCGCUGCAUUAGCUAGUUGGUAAGGUAACGGCUUACCAGGGCAACGAUGCAUAGCCGACCGGAGAGGGGGAUCGGCCACACUGGAACUGAGACACGGUCCAUACUCCUACGGGAGGCAGCAGUAGGGAAUCUUCCGCAAUGGGCGAAAGCCUGACGGAGCAACGCCGCGUGAGUGAUGAAGGUCUUCGGAUCGUAAAACUCUGUUAUUAGUGAAGAACAUAUGUGUAAGUAACUGUGCACAUCUUGACGGUACCUAAUCAGAAAGCCACGGCUAACUACGUG
rnacentral:rRNA from 1 species